CCAGGGCAGUGAUCACAGCACCAAGCCUGGCAGAGUUCAAGAAGCAUUUGGACAAUGCUCUCAGGCGCAUGCUGUGACCCUUGGGGAUGGUUCUCUGCAGGAACAGGAGUAGGACUACAAUGAUCCUUGU